AUGUGAUUUCAGCAAAUGUUUACUCAUGAACUUAUUUAGGCUUGCCAUAACCAACCGGUUAAAUACUUAUGGACCAAAACAGGCUGAAAUUUCAGGCGGUCUUUUCAAAGAGCUUUUACACUAAAAGGGCAUUGUAAUUAUUUUCAAAAUGUCAUAGCAUUAUUCCAACCUCAUAGUGUGUAAAUAAAUCAUCUUGAAUAAAUUAAUGUGAKAUUUUUUAUUUAAGAAUCUAGACAUAGUCCUAAUUUUAGAGCACACUAUAAGUAUAAGGAGUAUAAUGACACUAUUAUAUUGUCUGUAUCAUGUACGGUUCACGGAUCAUACGGUCUUACAUUAGGCAUAUGAAAGACUAAAAAGGACCUAAAAUGGCCACUUUAUCACGAUUUUCUCUUUUUCUUUGUGAUAAAAAUGUAAAAAGCAUGUCAAACAUUGUUCCUCCCAAUUAAGUUUCGAUGUAAGAAUUGGCCAAAAUAUUUUUUGCUGGCAUGGAAUCGCCCUUGUAUUUAUUUAACACAUAUUCAUCUUUUCAUUUCCAGUGCAGUGAAAAGCAUGACAAACAGCAGCCUGCACUUCAAAAGCAUAGAUGGGCUCAGCCAUCAGCAUGAACGUACAAAUCAGCAUCUCCCAGGGGCGCAGCUCACAUGAAGCGACUGUAACGGCCAUCGUUGCAUGAAGAAGUGGACCAAAGCGCAGCGUGCAGUUGAAGAACAACAGACCCAGGAGUGCUAAAAGAGGGAGGAGAGAAGCACAACUCUGGGAUAUGAUGAUGACGUUAUGGAAUUGCACAGCUCCCCCUGAAAGGGAGCUGUGGGAUCAGUGGGUCAUCCACCCUCCAUUACAAUGGUGCACUGCCUCCCACCUGAACUAGGCAUUCACUGGAAUGGAAAGCCAACAGCUUUGCCUUGCCAGGACCUGCCUUAAGACACGCCAGUAAUGCACGUCUGUCAAAUACGCCAUUGUUUUGGGCCUUGUGUAUCAAUCAGUUGAAGGGACUCUGAAAGCAGUGACUUUUGCCUCUGCUGCAAAUUAACUGGAGUAUAUUUGUAGAAAUCUGAAUGAAUUUGUCCUUUCUAGGGUCACGCAAAGCUCUAUUUGGUACAAUCUGUUAUUGUUUAGCAGUUGGUCUGAACGGAUAUAAUGUCUGAUAAAUUAAUCUGCUUUAGCUAAAUGAAAAGUGCUUUCACAUGACGUUAUGUGGGGUGACUACAGUGUUCAUAAUACUACCAAAUAUAUAUUCCAGACUUGGAAUUGUUUCAACUCUCUACCCAAGGCUUUUACUUGCGACAUAAUUAAAUGCACUAAAGAGUAAC